UCGAGGGGUAUUUAUCUUCGGAUAGAGAGACCGGCGCACGGGUGCGUAACGCGUAUGCAAUCUACCUUUUACAGAGGGAUAGCCCAGAGAAAUUUGGAUUAAUACCUCAUAGUAUAAUGACUCGGCAUCGAGAUAUUAUUAAAGUCACAACGGUAAAAGAUGAGCAUGCGUCCCAUUAGCUAGUUGGUAAGGUAACGGCUUACCAAGGCUACGAUGGGUAGGGGUCCUGAGAGGGAGAUCCCCCACACUGGUACUGAGACACGGACCAGACUCCUACGGGAGGCAGCAGUGAGGAAUAUUGGACAAUGGGCGCAAGCCUGAUCCAGCCAUGCCGCGUGCAGGAUGACGGUCCUAUGGAUUGUAAACUGCUUUUAUACGAGAAGAAACACUGCUUCGUGAAGCAGCUUGACGGUAUCGUAAGAAUAAGGAUCGGCUAACUCCGUGCCAGCAGCCGCGGUAAUACGGAGGAUCCAAGCGUUAUCCGGAAUCAUUGGGUUUAAAGGGUCCGUAGGCGGUUUAAUAAGUCAGUGGUGAAAGCCCAUCGCUCAACGGUGGAACGGCCAUUGAUACUGUUAAACUUGAAUUAUUAGGAAGUAACUAGAAUAUGUAGUGUAGCGGUGAAAUGCUUAGAGAUUACAUGGAAUACCAAUUGCGAAGGCAGGUUACUACUAAUGGAUUGACGCUGAUGGACGAAAGCGUGGGUAGCGAACAGGAUUAGAUACCCUGGUAGUCCACGCCGUANACGAUGGAUACUAGCUGUUGGAANCAAUUUCAGUGGCUAAGCGAAAGUGAUAAGUAUCC
rnacentral:rRNA from 1 species